rnacentral:rRNA from 1 species
UACGUAGGGUGCAAGCGUUGUCCGGAAUUAUUGGGCGUAAAGAGCUCGUAGGCGGUCUGUCGCGUCUGCUGUGAAAACCUGGGGCUUAACCCCGGGCCUGCAGUGGGUACGGGCAGACUAGAGUGUGGUAGGGGAGACUGGAAUUCCUGGUGUAGCGGUGAAAUGCGCAGAUAUCAGGAGGAACACCGAUGGCGAAGGCAGGUCUCUGGGCCACUACUGACGCUGAGAAGCGAAAGCGUGGGGAGCGAACAGG